rnacentral:rRNA from 1 species
UACGGAGGGUGCAAGCGUUGCUCGGAAUUAUUGGGCGUAAAGGGUAGGUAGGUGGUCUUAUUUGUCUGGGGUGAAAUCCUUGAGCUUAACUCAAGAAGUGCCUCAGAAACGGUAAGACUAGAGUCCCAGAGAGGGUCGUGGAAUUCCCGGUGUAGCGGUGAAAUGCGUAGAGAUCGGGAGGAACACCAGGAGGCGAAGGCGGCGACCGUGGAUGGGAACUGACACUAACUA